UACGGGGGGCAAGCGUUGUUCGGAAUUACUGGGCGUUAAAGGGCUCGUAGGCGGCCAACUAAGUCAGACGUGAAAUCCCUCGGCUUAACCGGGGAACUGCGUCUGAUACUGGAUGGCUUGAGGUUGGGAGAGGAUGCGGAAUUCCAGGUGUAGCGGUGAAAUGCGUAGAUAUCUGGAGGAACACCGGUGGCGAAGGCGGCAUCCUGGACCAAUUCUGACGCUGAGGAGCGAAAGCCAGGGAGCAAACAGG
rnacentral:rRNA from 1 species